CCUAGGCGGCUGCAGUGGGGAAUAUUGGACAAUGGGGGGAACCCUGAUCCAGCCAUGCCGCGUGUGUGAAGAAGGCCCUCGGGUUGUAAAGCACUUUCAGUGAGGAAGAACGCCUGGUGGUUAAUACCCAUCAGGAAAGACAUCACUCACAGAAGAAGCACCGGCUAACUCCGUGCCAGCAGCCGCGGUAAUACGGAGGGUGCGAGCGUUAAUCGGAAUUACUGGGCGUAAAGCGCGCGUAGGUGGCUUGAUAAGCCGGUUGUGAAAGCCCCGGGCUCAACCUGGGAACGGCAUCCGGAACUGUCAAGCUAGAGUGCAGGAGAGGAAGGUAGAAUUCCCGGUGUAGCGGUGAAAUGCGUAGAGAUCGGGAGGAAUACCAGUGGCGAAGGCGGCCUUCUGGACUGACACUGACACUGAGGUGCGAAAGCGUGGGUAGCAAACAGGAUUAGAUACCCUUGUAGUC
rnacentral:rRNA from 1 species